AAGUCGUAACAAGGUUGCCGUUGGGGAACCAGCGGCAGGAUCAUUACAAGGAGAAAAGUGCGAUGCUGUGGUCAAAAAGAGGGUUCGGAAUUUUUCUGGACUUUUUUUUUUUCGAAAAAAUCGUACUUUUUAUUUUUGAUGCAUUUUUUACGGACACAACUGGCAACGGCGGAUCUCUUGGCUCGU
rnacentral:misc_RNA from 1 species